UACAGAGGUCUCAAGCGUUGUUCGGAUUCAUUGGGCGUAAAGAGCGUGUAGGCGGCCACUUAAGUCCUGCGUGAAAUCUUGCGGCUCAACCGCAAGCGGUCGUGGGAAACUGGGUGGCUAGAGUGCGGGAGAGGAGAGUGGAAUUCCUGGUGUAGCGGUGGAAUGCGCAGAUAUCAGGAAGGACACCCGUGGCGAAGGCGGCUCUCUGGAACGCAACUGACGCUGAGACGCGAAAGCGUGGGGAGCAAACAGG
rnacentral:rRNA from 1 species